rnacentral:rRNA from 1 species
UACAGAGGUCCCCAAGCGUUGUUCGGAUUCACUGGGCGUAAAGGGUGCGUAGGCGGUCGGGUAAGUCUGACGUGAAAUCUUCAAGCUCAACUUGGAAACUGCGUCGGAUACUAUUCGGCUAGAGGAAUGGAGGGGAGACUGGAAUACUUGGUGUAGCAGUGAAAUGCGUAGAUAUCAAGUGGAACACCAGUGGCGAAGGCGAGUCUCUGGACAUUUCCUGACGCUGAGGCACGAAAGCCAGGGGAGCAAAC